rnacentral:rRNA from 1 species
CCUACGGGUGGCAGCAGUGAGGAAUAUUGGUCAAUGGACGAGAGUCUGAACCAGCCAAGUAGCGUGAAGGAUGACUGCCCUAUGGGUUGUAAACUUCUUUUAUAUGGGAAUAAAAUGUUCCACGUGUGGGAUUUUGUAUGUACCAUAUGAAUAAGGAUCGGCUAACUCCGUGCCAGCAGCCGCGGUAAUACGGAGGAUCCGAGCGUUAUCCGGAUUUAUUGGGUUUAAAGGGAGCGUAGGUGGAUGGUUAAGUCAGUUGUGAAAGUUUGCGGCUCAACCGUAGAAUUGCAGUUGAAACUGGCAGUCUUGAGUACAGUAGAAGUGGGCGGAAUUCGUGGUGUAGCGGUGAAAUGCUUAGAUAUCACGAAGAACUCCGAUUGCGAAGGCAGUUCACUGGACUGCAACUGACACUGAUGCUCGAAAGUGUGGGUAUCAAACAGGAUUAGAUACCCGAGUAGUC